UACAGAGGUGGCAAGCGUUGUUCGGAAUUACUGGGCGAAAGGGCGCGUAGGCGGUCUUGUAAGUCUUGUGUGAAAUCCCUCGGCUUAACUGAGGAACUGCACGGGAUACUGCGAGACUGAGAUCGGGAGAGGGAAGCGGAAUUCCCGGUGUAGUGGUGAAAUGCGUAGAGAUGCGGAGGAACACCGGUGGCGAAGGCGGCCAACUGGACCAUUACUGACGCUGAGGCGCGAAAGCGUGGGGAGCAAACAGG
rnacentral:rRNA from 1 species